CUGCCCAGGACAGCCCUGAGGGCUUCUGGGAUGGAAGAGGUAUCCUUGGGAGGCUCCCAGCAUUCUCUGCGAUGUCGCUGUUUCUCCCCUAUGCCUGCCUCAAUGUCUCCCUGAGAUUUUGCCACCUGCCCAGGCCACCCUGAAGCCCCGUUUUCUCUUGUGGAGGCCUUCUGUGAGAGACACAGACACACUGCUCCAAAGCCUGAAGCUUUACACCCUGCCCGGGACAGCCCUGGAAGCUCCUCAGAUGGAAGAGUCCUCAUUGGCCUCAGUUUGCUCUGAAGUGUCCUUUCGCAGAUUCUACAAAAAGAAUGUUUACAACCUGCUGAAUCAAAAAAAGAUUUAACUAUGUGAGCUGAGAGCACACAUCACAAAGCAGUUUCACAAAUAAAUUCUUUCUUGUUUUUAUCAUGGGUAAUCUGUUUUCUCUAUAGGCCUCAGUGGGUUUCAAAAUGUCCUUUUGCAUAUUCUACAAAAAGUGUAUUUCCAACCCGGAGAAUCAAAAGAAAGUUUUAACCCUAUGAGCUGAAUCCACGCAUUGCAAAGCAGUUUCACAGAUAACUUCUUUUUAGUUUUUAUCUGGGAUAUUUGAUUUUUCAAUAUAGCCCCCAGUGGGCUUCAAAAUGUCUUUUCACAGGUUCUACAAAAAGAGUGUUUCCAACAAGUGAAAUCAAAAGAAAGGUUGAGCUCUGUGAGUAGAAUCCUGACAUCACAAAGCAGUUUAACAGAUAGCUUUUUUAUAGAUUUAUUGUGGGAUAUUCAGUUUUUUACUAUAGGCUAAAUUGGGCUGCGAAAUUUCCCUUUGCAGGUUCCAGAAAAAGAGUGUUUUUAACCUGCUGAAUCAAAAACAGUUUGACUCUGUGAAGUGAAUGCACACAUAACAAAGCAGUUUCACAGACAGCUUCCUUCUAGUUUUUAUCACCGGAAAUUUGGUUUUUCACUAUAGGCCUCAGUGGGCUUGGAAAUGUAACUUUGCAGAUUCUAAAACAAGAGUGUUUUCAUCCUGCUGAAUGAACAGAAAGGUUUAACUCUGUGAAUUGAAACCACACAUCACAAAGAGGUUUCACAGAUAGCUUCCUUCCAGUUUUGAUCAUGGGAUAUUCAUUUUUUCCCUAUAGGUCUUAGUUGACUCCAAAACAUUCCUAUGCAGAUUCUACAAAAUGAGUGUUUCCAACCUGCAAAAUUAAAAGAAAGGUUUAACUCUGUGAGCUAAAUUCACAUGUCACAAAGCAGAUUAACAGAUAGCUUCUUUCUAGGUUUCAUUGCGGGGUGUUUUGAUUUUCACUAUAAGCUUAAGUGGGCUGCAAAAUGUGUCCCUUCACAGAUGCUAUAAAAAGAGUGAUUCCAAACUGCUGACUCAAAAGAACGGUUUGACUUUGUUAUCUGACUCCAGAUAUCACAAUACAGUUUCAGAGAUAACUUCUUUCUAGUUUUUAUCAUGGCAUAUUCGGUUUUUCACUAUAGGCCUCAGUAGGCUCUGAAAUGUUUCUUUGCAGAUUCAACAAGAGUGUUUCCAACCUGCUGAAUGAAAAGAAUUCUUUAUCUCUGUGAACUGAAUGCAAAUAUCACAAAACAGUUUCACUGAUAACUUCUAUCUUGUUUUUACCAUGGGAUAUUCCGCUUUUCACUAUAGGUCUCAGUGGGCUCUGAACUGUCUCUUCGUAGAACCUACAAAAAGUGUGUUCCCAACCUGCUGAGUCAAAAUAAAGUUUUAACUCUGUGACCUGAAUCUACACAUCACAAAGCAGUUUCACAGAUAGCUUUUUUGUAGUUUUUAUGGUGGGAUAUUCAGUUUUUCACUAUAGGCCUAUGUGGGCUAUGAAAUGUCCCUUCACAAAUUCUACAAAAGAAAGUGUUUCUUACCUGCAGAAUCAAAAGAAUGACUUAACUCUGUGAUCUGAAUGCAAACAUCACAAAGCAGUUACACAGACAAGUUCUGUAUAGUUUUUAUCUCGGGAUUUUCAGUUUUUCACUAUAGGCCUCAGUUUGCACCAAAAAGACCCUUCACAGAUUCUACAAAAAAAAGUUUACAACCUGCUGAAUCAAAAGAAAUGUUUAACUCUCUGAGCUGAAUCCACACAUCACAAAACAGUUUCACAGAUAGACCUUUUUUAGUUUUUAUCACAGGAUAUUUGGUAUUUCACUAAAGGCCCCAGUAGACUCUGAAAUGUUUCUUCACAGAUUCUACAAGAAAAGUGUUUCCAACCUGCUGAAUCAAAAGAAAGGUUUAACCCUGUGAGUUGAAUCCACACCUCAAAAAGCAGAUUCACAGAUAGCUUCUUUUCUGUUUUUAUCUUGGAAUAUUUGGUUUUCACUAUAAGCCUCAGUCCAUUUUGAAAUGUCCCUUCAUAAAUUUCACAAAAAUAGAGUUUCUAACCUGCUGAAUCAAAGGAAAUUUUUAACUCUGCAAGCUGAAUCCACACAUCACAAAGCAGUUUUACAGAUAGCUUCUUUCUGGAUUUUAUUGUGGGACAUUCAGUUUUUCACUAAAGUUCUCAGUGGGCUCCAAAUGAAUUCUUUGCAGAUUCUACAAAAAAAGUGUCUCCAAUCUGCUGAAUCAAAAGAUUUAAAUCUGUAACCUGAAUCCACACAUCACACAGCAAUUUCACAAUAAUUUCUUUCUAGUUUUUAUUGCAGAAUAUUCCCUUUUUGAGUCUAGACUUCAGUGGGCUUUGAAAUGUCCCUUUGUGGAUUUUACAAAAAAAGUGAUUCCAACUUGCUGAAUUAAAAGAAAGGUUUAACUCUGUGAGCUUAAUUCACAAAACACAAAGCAUUUUCACAAAUACCUUCUUUCUUGUUUUUAUCAUGGGGUAUUCAGUUUUUUUCUAUAGUCCUCAGUGGGAUUCAAAAUGUCCCCUUGCAUAUUUUACAAAAAGUUUAUUUCCAACCUGGAGAAUAAAAAAAAGUUUAUCCCUGUGAGUUGAAUCCAAACAUCACAAAGCCAUUGCACAGAUAGCUUCUUUCUAGUUUUUAUCAUAAAAUAUUCAAUCUUUCAAUGUAGCCUUCAGUGGGCUUUGAAAUGUGUCUUCACAGAUUUUACAAAAAGUGUGUUUCCAACAAGUGAAAUAAAAAUAAAGUUUUAAUUCUGUGAGCCGAAUGCACACAUCACAGAGCAGUUUAACAGAUAGCUUCUUUCUAGAUUCAUUACCAGAUAUUCAGUGUUUCACUAUAGGCUUAAGUGGGCUGUGAAAUAUUCCUUUGCAGAUUCUACAAAAACAGUGUUUCCAACCUGCUGAAUCAAAAGAAAGGUUUAACUCUGUGAACUGAAUGCACACAUUACAAACAGUUUCACAGAUAGUUUCUUUUUAGUUUAUAUCAUGGGAUAUUUGAUUUUUUACUACAGGCCUCAGUGGGCUCUGAAAUGCCUCUUCACAAAUUCUACAAAAAUAGUGUUUCCAACCUGUUGAAUAAAAGAAAGGUUUAUCACUUUGAGGUGAAUCCACACAUCGCAAAACAGUUUCACAGAUAUCGUCUUUCUAGUUUUUAUCACAAGAUAAUUGGUUUUUCCCUACAGGCCUCUGUGGGUUUUGAAAUGUAACUUCACAGAUUCUAAAACAAGAGUGUUUCCAACCUGCUGAAAGAAAAGAAAGGUUUAACUCUGUUAGCUGUAUCCACACAUCGCAAGGCAGUUUCACAGAUAGCUUCUUUCUAGUUUUUAGCAUGGGAUAUUGAUUUUUUCCCUAUAGGCUUCAGUUCGCUUAAAAUGUUCCUCUGCUUAUUCUACAAAAAAAGUGUUUCCAACCUGCAAAACCAAAAGAAAGGUUUAACACUGUGAGCUGAAGGCACACAUCACAAAGCAUUGUAACAGCUUCUUUCUAGUUAUUAUUGAAGGAUAGUCGGCUUUUCACUACAGGCUUAAGUGGGCUGUGAAAUGUCCCUUUGCAGAUUCUACAAAAAGAGUGUUUCCAAUGUGGUGAAUCAAAAGAAUUGAUCUGUGAUCUGAACCCAGACAUCACAAUGCAGUUUCACAGAUAGCUUGUUUCUGGUUUUUAUCAUAGGAUAUUUGGUUUUUCACUGUAGACCUCAGUGGGCUUUGAAAUGUUUCUUCACAGAUUCAGCAACAGAAAUAUUUUCCAAUGGUUGAAACAAAAACUGCUUUAUCUCUGUGAACUGCAGGCAAACAUCAAAAGCCAUUUCACUGAUUGCUUCUUUCUAGUUUUUAUUGCAAGGUUUUCAUUUUUUUACUAUAGGCCUCAGUUUGCUCUGAAAUUUCUCUUCGCAGAUUCUACAAAAAGAAUGUUCACAACCUGCUGAAUCAAAAGAAAGGCUUAACUAUGUGAGCUGAAUCCACACAUCACAAAGCAGUUUCACUGAUAAAAUCUAUGUCAUUUUGAUCAUGGGGCAUUCCGUUUUUCACUAUAGCCUCAGUGGGUUUAAAAUGUACCUUUGUGUGUUUUAGAAAACAUGUGUUUUCAACCUGCAGAAUCAAAACAAAGGUUUAUCUCUGUGAGCUGAAUCUGCACAUCACAAAGCCAUUUCAGACAUAGCUUCUUUCAAGUUUUUAUCAUAGGAUGUUCAAUUUUUCAAUAUAGUCCUCAGUGGGCUUCAAAAUAUCUCUUCACAGAUUCUACAAAAAGAGUGUUUCCAACAAGCAUAAUAAAAAUAAAGGUUUAAUUCUGUGGGCAGAAUUCACACAUCAUGAAGCUGUUUAACAGAUAGCUUCUUUCUAGAUUUAUUACCAGAUAUUCAAUUUUUCAGUAUAGGCUUAAGUGGCCUGUGAAACGUUCCUUCGCAGAUUCUACAAAAACAGUGCUUCCAAACUGCUGCAUCAAAAGAAAGGUUUAACUCUGUGAACUGAAUGAACACAUCACAGUUUCACAAAUAGUUUCUUUUAGUUUAUAUAAUGAGAUAUUUGGUUUUUCACUAUAUGCCUUAGUGGGCUCCAAAAUGUCUCUUUGCAAAUUCUACAAAAAGUGUGUUUCCAACCUGCAGAAUGAAAAGAAAGAUUUAACUUUUUGAGCUGAAUCCAUACAUCAUAAAGCAGUUUCACAGAUAGCUUCUUUCUAAUUUUUAUUGUGAAAUAAUUGAUAUUUCACGAUAGGCCUCAGUAAGCUUUGAAAUGUAACUUCACAGUUUCUAAAACAAGAGUGUUUCCAACCUACUGAAUGAAAAGAAAGGUUUAACUCUGUGAGCUGAAUCCACACAUCACAAAGCUGUUUCACAGACAGCUUCUUUCUAGUUUUUGUUAUGGGAUAUUCAUCCUUUCCCUAUAGGUUUCAGUUGGCUCGAAAAUUUUUUCUGCACAUCUUCUACAACAGGAGUGUUUCCAACGUGUGAACUCAAAAGAAAGGUUUAACAAUGUGAGAUGAAUCCACACAUCACAAAGCAGUUCAACAGAUCGCUUCUUUCUGCUUUUUAUUGCAGAAUAUUCAGUUUUUUACUACAGGCUUAAGUGGAUUGUGAAUUAUCCCUUUGCAGUUUCUACAAAAAGAGUGCUUCCAACCUGCAGAAUUUAAAAAAAAAAAAGGCUUAACUCUGUGAGCUGAAUCCACACAUCACAAAGCAGUUUCCCAGAUAGUUUUUAUAGGUUUUAUCUUGGCAUAUUCAGUUUUUCACUAAAGGCCCCCAUGGGCUCCAAAAUGUUUCUUUGCAGAUUCUACAAAAAGAGUGUUUCCAACCUGCUAAAAAAAAAAAAAGAGAAAGGCUUAACUCUGUGAACUGAACCCAGAUAUCACAAAGCACUUUCUCAGACUCCUUCUUUCUAAUUUAUAUCACAGUAUAUUCCGUUUUUCAAUAUAGGCCUCAGUGGGCUCUGAAAUGUCUGUUUGCAGAUUCAACAAAGAGAGUGUUUCCAAUCUGCUGAAUCAAAAUCAAGGUUAACUCUGUGAAUGGAAUCCACACAUCACAAAGCCAUUUCACAGAUAGCUUCUUUCUAGUUUUUAUUUUUGGAUAUUCAGUUUCUCUCUAUAGACAUCAGUUGGUUCUAAAAUGUCCCUUUACAGAUUCUACAAAAAGAGUGUUCCCAACCUGCUGACUCAAAAGAAUGGUUUAACUCUGUGAUCUGAAUGCCAUCAUCACAAAUCAGUUUCACAGGAAGGAAUCUGUGUCCUUCCACAGAUUCUACAGAAAGAGUGUUUCCAAUCUGCUGAAUGAAAGGAAAGGUUUAACUCUGUAAGAUGAAUCCACACAUCACAAAACAGUUUCACAGAGAGCUUCUGUCUAGUUUUUAUUAUGGAAUAUUCAGUUUCUCAUUAUAGGCCUCAGUAAGCUCUGAAAUGUCCAUUUGCCAUUUGCAGAUAGUGAAAAAGUGUUUUCAACCUGCUGAAUCAAAUAAAGGUUUAAAUCUGUGAGCUGAAUCCACACAUCACAAAGCAGUUUCACCAGAUAGCAUCAUUUAAUUUUUUAUUGUGGGAUAUUCGGUUUCUUACUGUGGUUUUCAACGGCUUUUGAAAUGUUCCUUCCCAAAUUCUAUAAGAAGACUGUUUCCAAACUACAGAAUCAAAGGAAAGUUUUAAAUCUUUGAGCUGAAUGUAUGCAUCACAAAGCAGAUUCACAGAUAGCAUCUUUCCCAUUUUUAUUGCAGUAUAUUCGGUUUUUCACUAUGAGCCUCAGUGGGUUGCGAAAUGUCCCUUUGCAGAUUCUACAAAAAAAGGGUCUCCAACCUGCUGAAUCAAAAGAAAGGAGAAACUCUGUGAGGUGAAACCACACAUCACAAAGCAGUUUCACAGAUAAUUUCUUUCUAGUUUGUAUCAUAAGGUAUUCAGUUUUUCACCACCAGCCUCAGUGGGUUCUUAAAUAUCCCUUCACAGAUUCUACAAAAAGAGUGUUUCCAUCCUGCUGAAUCAAAAUAAACGUUUAACUCUCUGAGCUUCAUGCACACAUCAGAAAACAGUUUCACAGAUAGAUUUUUUGUAAUUUUUCUCAGUGGAUAUUUGGCUUUUUAAAAUAGGCCCCAGUAUCUCCAAAAUGUCCUUUCACAGAUUCCACAAAAAAAGUGUUUCCAAUCUGCUGAAUCAAAAUAAUGGAUUAACUGUGUGAAUUGAAUCCACACAUCACAAAGCAGUUUCACAGAUAGCUGCUUUAUAGUUUUUAUCACGGGAUAUUGAAUUUUUUAUUAUACACCUCUGUGGGCUCCAAAAUGUCCCAUUGCUGAUUCCACAAAAAGAGUGUUUCCAACAGUGGGAUCAAAAGAAAAGUUUAAAUCGUUGAGCUGAAUCAACACAUCAUAAAGGAGGUUCACAGAUAGAUUAUUUCUAGUUUUUAUCAAAUGAUAUCUUGUUAUUUACUAUAGGCUUCACUGGGAUCUGAAAUGUCCAUUUACAGAUUCUAAAAAAAGAGUGUUUCCAAUCUGCUGAAUCUAAAGAAAGGUUUAACUCUGUGAGUUGAAAGCACACGUCAAAAAGCAGCUUCUCAGAAAGCUUCUUUCUAGUUUUGAUCAUGGGAUAUUCGUUUUUUUUACCAUAGCUCCCAUUGGGCUUUGAAAUAUUUCUUCACAGAUUAUGUAAAAAUAUUUUUUCUAAUCUGCUGAAUCAUAGGAAAGGUUUAGCUCUUUGAGUUGAAUCCACACAUCACAAAGCAGUUUCACAGAUAGCUUCUUUCCGGUUUUUAUCAUGAGGUAUUUUCUUUUCCACUAUGGCCCCCUUGGGGUACAAAAUAUCCCUUUGCAGAUUUUACAAAAAGAUUGUUUCUAACCUGCUGAAUCAAAAAACGUUUAACUUUGUGAUCUAAGUCCACACAUCACAAAGCAAUUUCAAAGAUAGCAUCUUUCCGGUUUUCAUCGUGAUUUACUUGGUUUUUACUGUAGGUCGCAGUUGGCUGUGAAAUGUCCCUUUGCAAAUCCUACACAAAAAGUGUUUUCAACCUGCUGAAUAAAUAAAAAGAUUUAACUUUGUGAAGUGAAUCCACACGUCACAAACCUGUUUCAUCAAUAAUUUCUUUCUAGUUUGUAUUGUGAGAUAUUUGGUUUUUCACCACAGGUCUCAGUGGGCUUCGAAAUGUCCCUUUGCAGAUACCACUAAAAGAGUGUUUCCAACCUGCUGAAAAAAAUGAAACAUUUAACUCUGUGUGCAGCAACCACAAAUCACAAAGCAGUUUCACAGAUAGCUUCAUUCUAGUUUGUAUCAUGGGAUAUUUGGUUUUUCACUAUAGGCCUCAGUGUCUCUGAAAUAUUUCUUCAAAGAUUCCACAAAAAAGUGUUUUCAACUUGCUGAAUAGAAAGAAUGGAUUACCUCUUUGAGGUAAAUCCACAGAUCACAAAGCGGUUUCACAAAUUCCUUCUUCCUAGUUUUAAUUGCAGGGUAUUCAGUUUCUCACUAUAGGCCUCAGUAAGGUCUGAAAUGUCCAUUUGCAGAUUGUACAACAAGAGUGUUUUCAACCUGCUGAAUGAAAUGAAGGUUUAACCCUGUGAGCUGAAUCCUCACAUCACAAAGCAGUUUCAAAGAUAUAAUCUUUUUUAGUUUUUAUAGUGGGAUAUUCACUUAUUUACUGUGUUCCUCAGUGGGGUUUGAAAUGUCCCUUCACAAAUUCUACAAGAAGACUGUUUCCAAAAUGCCGAAUCAAAAGAAAGGUUUAUGUCUGUGAACUGAAUCCACACAUCAUAAAGCAGUUUCACAGAUAGCAUCUUUCCAAUUUUUAUCAUGGUAUAUUUGGUUUUUCACUAUGGGCCUCAGUGGGAUGUAAAAUGUCCCUUUGUAGAUUUUACAAAAAGAGUGUUUCCAACCUGCUUAAUCAAAACAACCAUUUAAAUCUGUGAGCUUCAUCCACAAUUCUGAAAGCAGUUUCACAGAUAGCAUUUUUGUAUUUUUUAUCAGGGACAUUCAGUUUUUCACAAUAGUCCUCAGUACCUCAGAAAUGUCCCUUCACAGAUAUUACAAAAAACGUGUUUCCAACCUGCUGAAUCAAAAGAAUGGAUUAACUCUGUGGGAUGAAGCCCCACAUCACAAAGCAGUUUCACAGAUAGCUUCUUUAUAGUUUUUAUCGCAGGAUAUUCAUUUUUUUAUUGGCUUCUGUGGGCUCUGAAAUGUCCCAUUGCAGAGUCUACAAAAAUAGUGUGUCCAACCUACUGAAUCAAAAGACUGGUUUAAACUGGUGAGCUGAAUCUACACAUCAUAAAUCGGGUUUACAGAUACAUUCUUUCUAGUUUUCAAUCAAAUGAUACACAAUUUUUUAUUAUAGGCUUCAGUGGGUUUUAAAAUGUCCAUUUUCAGAUUUUACAAUAAGAGUGUUUCCAACCAGUUGAAUGUAAAGAAAAAUUUAACUUUGUGAGCUGAAAGCACACAUCACAAAGCAGUUUCACAGAUACCUUCUUUCCAGUUUUUAUCACAGGUUAUUCAGUUUUUCACCAUAGAUCCCAGUGGGCUCUGAAUUGUUUCCUUGCAGAUUCUACAAAAAUACUUUUUCCAACCUGCUGAAUCAAAGGAAAGAUUUAACUCUGUGAGUUGAACCCACACAUCAUAAAGCACUUUCACAGAUAGCUUCUUUCUCAUUUUUAUCACAGGAUAUUUGCUUUUUCACUAUUGGCACAGUGGGGUUUAAAACGUCACUUUGAAGAUUUUACAAAAAAGAUUGUUUCCAACCUGCUGAAUCAAAAGAAAGGUUUAAAUCCGUGAGCUGAAUCCACACAUUACAAAGCACUUUUGCAGAUAUCAACUUUCCAGUUUUCAUCCCAGUUUUCUCGUUAUUUUUUACUAUAGGACUCAGUGAGCUGCAAAAUGUCCCUUUACAAAUAUUACAAAAAUAGUGUUUCCAACUUGCUGAAUCAAAAGUAAGGUUUAACUCUGUGAAGUGAAUUCACACAUCACAAAGCAGUUUCACAGAUAACUUCUUUCUAGUUUGUAUUGUGGGAUAUGGAGUUUUUUACCACCGGCCUCAGUAGACUCCAUAAUGUCCCUUUGCAGAUUCUACAAGAAGAGUGUUUCCAACCUACUGAAUCAAAGAAAAGCGUUUUAACCCUGUGAGCUGAAUCCACACUUUGCAAAGAAGUGUCAAAGAUAGCUUCUUUCUCUUUUUUGUCAUGGGAAGUUCAGUUUUUCACUAUAGGCCUCAGUGGGCUCGAAAAUUUGCCUAUGCAGAUUCUAAAAAAAGAAUGUUUCAAACCUACUGAAUCAAAGCAAAGGUUCAACUCUGUGAGUUGAAUGCACACUUCACAAAGGAGUUUGGGAGAUAGCUUCUUACUCUUUUUUUUCACAAGACAUUCCAUUUUUCACUAUAGGCAUCAGUGGGCACUGAAAAAUCCGUUUGCAGAUUCUACAAAAACAGUGUUUCCAAACUGCUAAGUCAAAAGAAAAAACUCUGUGAGCACAAACAAUGAAGCAGUUUCACAGAAAGAUUCUUUCCAGUUUUUAUUGUAGUGUAUUCCAUUUUCACAAUUGGCAUCAGUGGUCUCUGAAAUGACACAUUGCAGAAUCUAAGUGAAGAGUUUUUCAAACCUGCUGAAUGAAAAAAAAUGUUUAACUCUGUGAGCAGAAUCCACACAUCACAAAGUAGUUUCGUGGAUAGCUUCUUUCUAGAUUUAUUGCGAGAUAGUCCCUUUUUAACUAUAGGCCUCAGUGGGCUCUGAAAUAUCUUCAUGUAGAUUCUAUGAAAAGAGUGUUUCCAACAUACAAAAUGAAAAGAAAAAUGUAACACUGUGAGCUGAAUGCGCAUAUCACAAAGCACUUUCACUGAUAGGUUCCUUGUAAUUUUAUCAUGGAAUAUUCUGUUUUUUAUUAUAGGCUCCAAUGCAAUGUCCCUUUGCAGAUUCUACAAAAAGAGUGUUUCCAACCUACUGAAUCAAAAGAAAGGUUUAACUCUGGGAGCUGAAUCUACACAUCACAGAGCAGUUUCACAGGUAGCUUCUUUCUAGUUUUUAUCAUGGUAUAUUUGGUUUUUCACUAUAGACUUCAGUGGGCUUGAAAAUUUUCCAUUGCAGAUUCUACAAAGAGUGUUUCCAACUUGCUGAAUCAAAAGAAAGGUUUAACCCUGUCAGCUGAGUACACACAUCAAAAAGCAAUUUCACCAAUCACUUCUUUCUUAUUUUUGCCACAGGAUAUCCAGUUUUUCAAUAUAGGCCUCAGUGGGCUUCAAAAUUUCCCUUUGCAUAUUCUACAACAACAGCGUCUGACCUGUCAAAUCAAAAGAAAGGCUUAACUCUGAGUUGAAUGCACACCUCACAAAAGACUUUACAGAUAGCUUCUUUCUCAUUUUUAUUGCAGGAUAUUCAGUUUUUCACUAUAGGCCUCAGUGGGCUCUGAAAUGUCCCUUCACAGAUUCUACAAAAAGAGUGUCUCCAAGCUGCUGAAUUGAAAGAAAAUUUUAAAUCUGUGAGCCAAAUCCACACAUCACCAAGCAGUUUCACAGAUAGCUUCUUUUUAGUUUUUAUCGUGGGACAUUCUGUUUUUUACUGUAGGCAUCAGUGCCUUAUGAAAUGUUUCUUCACAAAUUCUACAAAAAUAUUGUUUCCAACCUGCUGAAUCAAAAGAAAGAUUUAACCCUCUGAGUUGAAUCAUCUGAUCACAAAGCAGUUUCACAGAUACUUUCUUCCAAGAUUUUAUCAUGGGAUAUUCAGUUUUUCAUUAUAAGCCUCUGUGUGCUCCUAAAUGUUCCUUCACAGAUUCUACAAAAAAAGUGAUUCCAAUCUUCCGAGUCAAAACAAAGGUACAACUUUGUAAGCUGGAUCCACACAUCACAAUGCAGCUUCACAGGUACCUUCUUUCUAGAUUUUAUCAUGGGAUAUUCAGUUUUUCUCUAUAGGUCUCAGUGCACUUCAAAAUGUUCCUUCACAGAUUAUACAAAAAGAGUGUUUCCAACUUUCUGAUUAAGUACAAGUGUUUAACUCUGUGAACUGAAUCCACACAUCACAACUUCCUUUUACAUAUAGAUUCUGUGUAGUUUUUAUCAUGGGAUAUUUGAUUUUUCACUAUUGGCCUCAGAUCACUUUGAAAUGUCUCUUCACAGAUUUCACAAAAAGAGUGUUUCCAACCUGCUGAAUCAAGAGAAAGGGUGAAUUCUGUGAGGUAAAUCUACAUAUCACAAAGCAAUUUCACAGAUAGCUUCUUUCUAGUUUCCAUCAUGGGAUAUUCAGUGUUUUGCUGUAGGCCUCAGUGUGCUUUUAAACUUCCCUUCACAGAUUCUACAUAAAGAGGGUUUCCAACCUGCUGAAUUGAAAGAAAGGUUUAACUCUGUGAGCUGAAUUCACACGUCACAAAGCCAUUUCACAGAUAUCUUCUUCAAAGUUUUUAUCAUGGGAUAUUCUGUUUUUCACUAUAGGCCUCAGUGCUCUCAGAAAUGUCCCUUUGCAGAUGCCACAAUAUGAGUGUUUCUAACCUACUGAAUCAAAUCAAAAAUUUAACUCUGUGAGCUGAGUCCACACUCCACAAAUAAGUUUCAUAUAUACCCUGUUUAGUGUUUUUACCCCCAAAUAUUUGGUGUUUCACUAUAGGACUCUGAGGGCUCUGAAAUGUCACUUUGCAGAUUCUACAAAAAGAGUGUUUCUAACCUGCUGAAUCAAAAGUAAGUUUUAACACUGUAAGCUGAAACCACACAUCACAAAGUAAUUUCAUACUUAGAUUCUGUGUAGUUUUUAUCACAGGAUAUUUGAUUUUUCACUAUAGGCCUCAGCGUGCUCCAAAAUGUCCAUUCGCAGAUUCCACAAAAAGAGUGUUUCCGAUCUGGUGAAUCAAAAGAAAGGCUUAACUCUGUGAGCUGAAUCAACAUAUCACAAAGCAAUUUCACAGAUAGCUUCUUUCUAGUUUUUAUAAUGGAAUAUUCAAUGUUUCACUGUAGGCCAAUGUCUGCUUUUAAAUGUCCCUUUGCAGAUUCUACAAAAACAGUGUUUCCAACCUGCUGAAUAAAAACAAAGAUUUAACUUUGUGAGCUGAAUCCACAUAUAACAACGUAGUUUCACAGACAGCUUCUUUCAGUUUUUAUCACAGGAUAUUCAGUUUUUCACUAUAGCCCUCAGUGGGCUUUGAAAUAUCCCUUCACAGAUUCUACAAAGAGCAUGUUUUCACAUUUGGUUAAUUAAAAG
rnacentral:lncRNA from 10 species